UACUCCAUAAUAUAUAGAAUUCGCAUGUUUCUAUAUCUAAGCUUUGGCGAUUGAAGAUGGGCAUGCGUGACAUAAGCUAGUUGGUGAGGUAAGGGCUCACCAAUGCAACGAUGUGUAGGGGUUCUGAGAGGAUUAUCCCCCACACUGGUACUGAGACACGGACCAGACUCCUACGGGAGGCAGCAGUGAGGAAUAUUGGGCAAUGGGUGAAAGCCUGACCCAGCCAUGCCGCGUGCAGGAUUGACGGCCCUAUGGGUUGUAAACUGCUUUUGUACGGGAAGAAACCCUCGAACUUGUUCGAGGUUGACGGUACCGUACGAAUAAGCAUCGGCUAACUCCGUGCCAGCAGCCGCGGUAAUACGGAGGAUGCAAGCGUUAUCCGGAUUUAUUGGGUUUACAGGGUGCGUAGGCGGGACAGUAAGUCAGUGGUGAAAGCCUGCAGCUUAACUGCAGAAUUGCCAUUGAAACUGCUGUUCUUGAGUACAGUUGAAGUGGAUGGAAUGUGUUAUGUAGCGGUGAAAUGCAUAAGAUAUGACACCAGAACACCGAUAGCGAAGGCAGUUCACUAAACUGUAACUGAACGCUGAGGCACGAAAGCGUGGGUAGCAAACAGGAUUAGAUACCCUGGUAGUCCAACGCCGUANACGAUGAUUACUCGAUGUGUGCGAUA
rnacentral:rRNA from 1 species